rnacentral:lncRNA from 1 species
UGAUGUUAUUUUUUUGUGAAUCAAGGUAACGAAUGCAUGUUUUAAGUAGCCAUAUUGAUGAUUUAAGUUUAUGAGAUUUUGGGUAUGAAUAGAUUGGUCUAUUUUACAACUUGUGUAUAUUGAGAAAUGUGGUAUAGAAUAUGCAUGAAUUAGGUUUGAAUUGGCUGGUUUAAAUGCCUAUUUAUGCCAUGGGAUGGUGCAAAUUGAUGUGUUGUAGGUACAUUCAAAAUUGGGUGGCAAAUUGGCUUGGUAAAUAG